AAGAGAGAGCGUGUGUAAAGUGUAAGGCGUAAAGAAGCGGCGACUGCGAAUGGUGCUCGAAGAGAUUCGUAAUUUUGGUAGAGCGAGAAAAACAGAGUGGUGUCCGUGUAAAGAAAAAAAACGGAGUUUACGUACAUAGGGGCGAAAGUAACGAGUAACGAACGGAAGGACGAGGUUAAAGUAACCAGGAAGAAGAUCCGGUACGAAGGGCAAAAAGAAGACGCGGAAGGGAGGUACGUGUAACAGCUUGGAGAGACGAGUAGAGAGCGGAGCAACGGGAGGAACGAGGGAACAACGUGGCAACCAACAUGGUUAAAUAGAAGGACACGCGGAGAGGAAGAAGACGUGGGAGUGGAAGAGAGGCGGAAGAAGAGGAAGAUGCUGUAACUUAUAACUACGACUCGUGCUUUAAAUGAAACGUUCGUGUUAUAUUUUACGGCCUCGAUCCCGGGCGAACAUCUUUUGGAAAUUAAUUACAAGUGGCGCGCUCAUCCUGACUAAGAGGUUAUGUACCGGCUAUGAAUUAAGUUUUAUCCUCGUUUCUACGGUUAUACCGUUACUGCCGCGGCUAACGAACGAGUCGGUGAGUUUAAAAAAUCGUUUCGCGCGAGAUGCGCAAACGCGGUAAAUUGAUGAAGGUGGAGACGAGAAUGGAGGAAGAAGGAAUUACAAAAGGGGGUGGAUGAAGGUUGGUAAACGACAGGUUGGUUCGCAACGAAGGCGAUUAAUCGGAGAGCGUUAAACGCAAGGUCCGUGGCGAGAAUUAAUUUCUAUUCCCUUUUUAUAUACGUCUGCCACGGAGAGAUGAGAAUAACGACCGACGAUAAAUAACGACCACUGAUAAAAAUAUAGCAAGUAUGAUAAAAGGAUAGAUUAGGUAAACGGAAUGGGAAUAGCAGGCUAUAAAAUAAAUUACGAAGAAAAAUUCUCUGGUUGCAAUUCGUUGCGAUAUUUAGAUACGAUAAUCUAACCGAUGGUCAAAUUUUGUUCAUCCACCUACGUAUAACGAUAGGAUGUAGUUGUUAGAAAAUUGGGAUUAGUUUAUCCUUUGCCAUAGCUAUUUACGUAGAUAUUUCAAAUGCUAAAUUCUCUUAUAAUUGGUUUCGCAAAUUGUAGAAACUAGGAAGUUGAUUCGAAUGAUUUCAAAGUAAAUGGUAAGAACCGAGAGAGACGCUACGUUGGAAAUAUCUCGCGGUAAUGGAAACGUCAAAGGGAAAAUUAUAAACAAAGAGAGAAGAGUAUAGUAAUAUAUAGUAUGGUAACGGUGUGUAAGACACAGUGGAAGAAGAAAAACACUUGCCGGCUAAACAGGUUUUAGGUUAACGAAAUCGCUUCAUCCUGUUUUCUCACUAGUUCACUGUCGAUAUCGUUUCCGGCAAUGAGUCAUUCUUUAUAAAGGGGAAGAUCCAGAUACCAGAAACUAGUUUCGCGUUGAAUAGUUUAUUUCAUUCGUGUUUCGUGGUCGAAUACGAUACUAAGGCGUGUUUCGUCUGGACAACGAAAUACGAUACCUCCUUUCCUAUCGAUGACGCGCGAAUUACGGCGUCUUAUAAACAGCCUAGAAAAAUGAAAAAAAAGCAGGCAGACUGGAUUUGCUUUUACCGAACAAAAUUGUUGGUUAAGCCGCUUUGAGCAAGUAACUAAACGACGAUGAAUACAUAGCGAACAAAUUUUAACUGCUAU